rnacentral:rRNA from 1 species
GACGAACGCUGGCGGCGUGCUUAACACAUGCAAGUCGAACGGAAAGGCCCUGCUUUUGUGGGGUGCUCGAGUGGCGAACGGGUGAGUAACACGUGAGUAACCUGCCCUUGACUUUGGGAUAACUUCAGGAAACUGGGGCUAAUACCGGAUAGGAGCUCCUGCUGCAUGGUGGGGGUUGGAAAGUUUCGGCGGUUGGGGAUGGACUCGCGGCUUAUCAGCUUGUUGGUGGGGUAGUGGCUUACCAAGGCUUUGACGGGUAGCCGGCCUGAGAGGGUGACCGGCCACAUGGGGACGGGGUUACGGCCAAGACUCCUACGGGGGGCAGCAGUGGGAAAUAUGGCACAAUGGGCGGAGGCCUGAGGCAGCAACGCCGGGUGCGGGAGGACGGCCUUCGGGUUGUAAACCGCUUUCGCCUGUGACGAAGCGUGAGUGACGGUAAUGGGGAAAGAAGCACCGGCUAACUACGU